UGGAAACUUAUUUUUGUAAUGGCAGAAAAUUGGAUAGAGAGUGCAAAAAGAUUUACUGCCUACCCUGCAUUGCUUACUUGCUGUAUUUUUUGGAAGUUACAGAAGGAGGUGGUGGUUAAGAGUGUUAAGACAGGAUGAAGAAAGAGGUCUAUUACUACCAGUGAGGGUGCAUUUUUAAUGGAUCUUGUAGCAGACAUAUUAAAAUGGAUAUAUUAAUAAAAGGCAGUACCUGCUGUUUUGUCUUUGUAGGAGGAACAGGAAGAAAAUUACCUUCAAGAAAUGGUUGAAUGUAGAAUUUUUAAAGGUCUAGAGAGGUUAUGUCAGACAGGACUGGUAAUGCCAUGCAACCAUAAUGGAUGCACUCUUCUAAAUGAAAAUAAUUUGGAGUGGCAAAUGUAGAAAUGGUGGCAGAAUAAGUAUAAAUAAGACAAAGAAGGCUGAGGUCCAUGUGGAAUCAAUUGUGGCAAUGGAUGUCAGGGACAGCAGGAAAUAUAUGUCAAUAACAAAAGGAGAAUUAAGGAUAACACGAGCCUGUUGGCAAAUGAAGGGUGGGCCCUGAUAACAGAGGCGCUGAAUGCCUUUUUUUGCAUUGGUCUUUACUGACAAGACCAGCCAUCAGGAAGCCCUGACCUGGGAGCCCAGGGUAAAGGAGUGUUGGAAGACUUUUCCUUGGCUAAAGAGGAUUGGACUAGAGGGCAUCCACAAGUCCGUGAGCCCAGGCAGGAUGCCUCCAUGAGUGCUGAGAGAGCUGGCAGAUACCGUACCGGGCUACUCACAAUCAUCUUUGUGGCAACGAGGAGAGGUACCUAAAAGUUUGGAAUGUGAAUGUGACCUCAGCCUUCAAAAAUGGCGAGAAGGAGAACCUAAGGAGCUACUGACCAUUCAGCUUCACCUGAGCUCCUGGAAAGGGAAGGAGUACCUCAUUCUGGAGGCCUGCUGGAAAGCAUCUCUGUAGAGAAGGACCUGGGAGCCCUGGUGGACAACAAGCUGUCCAUGAGCCAGCAGUGCCCUUGUGAACAAGAAGGACAAUGGGGUCCUGUGCUGCAUUAAGAAGGGCACUGCCAGCAGGUCAAGAGAUGUGAUCCUGCCUCUCUGCUCAGCCCUGGUGAGGCCACAACUAGAGUGCUAUGUCCAGUUCUGGGCUCCUCAGGACAAGACAGACAUGGAGCUCCUGGAGUGGGUCCAGCAAAGGGCUACGAAGAUGGAGAGGGGAUUGAAAAGUCUCUCUUACAAGGAAAGACUGAGGGAGCUGGGCCUGUUCAGCCUCAAGAAGAGACCACUGAGAGGGGGACCUCAUUAAUAUAUUUAAGUAUCUUAAGGGAGAGUACCAAGAGGAUGGAGCCAGGCUGUUCUCUGCCAAAGCAAUAGACCAAGAGGCAAUGGGCAGAAACUGAUGCACGGCAAAUUCCGGCAGAACAAAAGGAAAAAGAUACGUUUAUACUCUGUGGCUGAGUGUGCACUGUAGCAGUUGUCAGAGAGGUUGUGGAAUCUUGCUCACUGCAGAUAUUUAAGAACCACCUGGAUGCAAUCCCAUGCCAUGUGCUCUAGGAUGACCCCACUUGAGCAUUAAGACACUCAAGCUGCCUGAAUUGGAGCGCUGCCUGAAGGGACAGCCAUGAAAGCCAAGUGGAAAACACAGUACCAGCUACUUCCAGAUGGUUUUCCAGAAGAACAAGCACAGAUAUGGUAUGGACAAAAUUGUCUCUACUGCAUAAACCAGGUUUCCUCAUGCAUGGUUUUGUGGAACUUUAGGAAAUUGAAAUGAACGGUAUAUAUGGUGAAUUUUGUUGCUCUGUUUGCUUGUCCUCUGAACUCCCUUCAAACUGUUGCCUACAGUGUGCUCUCCAAGGCUCUACGUAGCCUAGUUUUGAACAAAGCAUGAAACUGGCAUCUGUCCUUUCUGCCUAAAAACUGUCCCAUCAUUUCACAGUUCUCUCUUAGUCAGAGCUUGUAGCUGAGAAAUGUUUCAGUACUGUCCUAUUUUUCCUGUUACAACUGUGUGACUUUUCCCAGAAGAAUACAUAGGAGUGUGUGUGUGUGUGUGUGACUGGUUCUCCCGUCUGAGCAUUAACCAGAUUGCAAUGUGAGCUGAGACUUGGAAGUGUGGAUUGAAGAAAAAGUGAUGACAAUCACUGUUGGUAGUUACCAUUUGUCAAGCAUAAAAUAUACUUCCAUUUUGCCAGUCUUUUCCCUGUAAAGCCAGUGAUGCUGUCAGCCUGGCUGGUCCCUGGGGCCUGCUGCUGAUCAAAAGCUGCUGCUUUACCCUGCACCUUUGGGAUGACUCUGACCAAGAUCUCCAGACCCAGACCAGUAUCUAAACCAUGCUCCUCCUGUGAUAACAGUCAUUGCAGCAGCACAAAUCCAACUUCCCGUGUCUUUUCUAUCCCAUCAUGUCCUACCCAUGUGCAAGUCCCAGUAUUAGCAGAAACAGGCAGCAAAUGGACUGCCUGAUUUGCUGAAGCCAGAUCUCUAAGUAUCACUUGGCUGUAUGAUGGUGUGCUGCUGCUGCACAGCUGGGCCUUGAAGUUCUCAGCUAUUGUUGAAGGAAGUGCAUGAAAUGAGUAGGUCACUUUGGUUAUGUGCCAGUUCAAAAGCCUGCUGUCUUCAGGAGUUAUGGCAGACUUUUUCAACAACUUCCUUAUUUGCAGAGGGUUGUCUUUGUCUUGUAAUGCAAGAUCAGGGAUCCACCAAACCUGCAACAGGUACAGAGCCAGACCCACAAUGUAUCACAUCAUGCCUUCCAUCGGAUCCUGCUGUGAGUGGUUGCAGCAAGCUGCCCUCGACCCUGCCUCCCACCCAACUUCUUGGCUCGCCACCAUGUUAAGGCUGCCUGAAACUCAGCACCUGGCUGAGAAGCUUCGCAAAAGAGCUGUUUUAGCCUUCAGAAGUUUAAAUACUUACAUUAAAUUCUCACUAUAGUAGGCUUUGAUUUUGCUGACCACACUUUAGCGAAGUCCUUGCUUCUGUGUGUGAUUAAUAUUUAGCGCAGAUGGAAGAAGUUUGUCUUCGGAGGGAUUUGAGCAAGAAGCAAAAGAUGAAGCAAACUUGGCAAACAGUCCCAUCCACUGUCAUGUUAUCAGGGUUGCUCUGGGGAAGGUAGGGGUGGUGACUUUGGGUUUUGCAGGAAAUCAGUGAUAGAACUCAUCACAGCCCAGCCCUGACUUCUAUUCCUACAAGAAUACAGCUUUUUUUUCCAUCAUCUCUUGUAACAAAUUGCCUCAUUUAGUCUGGCUCCAGAAAAUAAAUACUGAUGACACAUCUCUUUUACAAGGCAAAGUAGAAAAGUACUUUUAAAUUUCUCUCUCACACAUUUUUUCAGAAUUUUGUUUUGUGUUUGAUAUUUCUGGAUUUAGCAUAGAGUUCAAAAGCAGUCUUAGUCCUCAUGUUUUUUCCUGUUCUUCAUAGAUCUGUUUGGCAAACAGUCCUAAAAUUGCCAGAGCUGGUAGUAGAUACAGGCACAGCUCGCUGCUACCUGCUAUUCUGUGAAGACUUUUAGUUUCCUGCUUGGAAACAAUCAUGCUAACAGCCAGCUCCAGGGAGUUGAGGAUGAAAAUAGCUUGAGUCUGCCUUCCUCCUGCUAGACCAGAACUGUUAUCUCUCAUUCACUCGCUAUUGCUUUGUCCAACUUAAUUUAAAUGUACCAAGCAGUAGAGCUUCUGUAACAUUACUUUUGAGAGACAAUUUUGUAUAUCUCACCGCAAAUAAGUCCUUCCUCAAACUCCACAUUUUCCCUUCCUAUCUUUACCCCUGAAUGCUAAUUUAAUCCUGGUGUAUUUUGCUGAUUGUGUCCUUGCUCUUCAUAAUAUGUAACCCUCUCAGGUCUUUCCUGUCAUCACUUGACUGUGCUACAAGCAUUAACCCCUUGGGCCUUAGUCUUCCGUUUGUAAGCAAUUCAAGUUUUGUCAACAGCUUAGGAGACAACACCACAAAUCUUCAAACCUGCCUCAUAGGAAAGGAAAUUAUUCUUUGAACCACCCCAGUAAAAAAAAAGGAGAAAAAUGUCAGCACAAACAGAAAUUUUCUUCCUUUGGGGAAGUAACAUAGGUAAUCAAUGUUAGUUUUGAUGAGAAAUUGCAAAAUAAAGCUGCUUUGUUUUUAGCAGUCCACCUUGACCUUUUUUGCAGUCAUUCAUUGCAUUGUGUUUAGUUUGUUCCUCUACUUCCACUAACUUCCAGCUACAUUAGCUAAUGAAAGGGUGCUUAGCCAGGCAGAUCUUUAAAUGCUUGCAGCAUCCAAAAGUAAGAAGGUUAAUAGUCCAAAUGCUCUAGCGUUUGAAGAUGCUUAUAGCAUAAAAGCUUUCUUUUGCAUUUUUAUUGCUUUAGAAGCCACAGUAGAUGAUUGGAAAAUACUUUGAGGACACAAGUUUGGCAUGUGUUGAAAGACACAUCUCUGCAGUGGUGCAUGUGCUGUGUUUCUUGGGGCAGGGUUGAAGGACUCCAGGGGUCUUAGGAUCCAGGAGUUCCCAUUAAACACUCACUGCAGUAGCUGGUUGGGAGAGUAGGUCUUUGCCUAUGAAUCUGCUUAUUCAAACAGAAUCCUCUGAAUUGCUGUAGGGGAAGAACAGAGUACUUGGGGGUAUUUAAAAGGUCAUCUUCCAUGACCAACUGUGGUACAUCACCAGUCGCUGUCUGUAUGGACGCAGAUUCCUUUUGUCACUGAUUGUUCACCCUUACCCUGUUCUGAAUCUGAGUAUUUUGUUAUCU